GGCCUCCCAAUUCUUAUCACAGGCUGUGUUCUUUACACUGUAUUGAAAGAGGAGGUACAGUAAAUGCACCCCAUAUACACCUCAACACAGGCCCUUUGAAUGGUCUGUAUUGUGAAAUUGGGGGACAAAA